GAGGAGUGAGGGCAUCCCCUGUGGUCCACUAGUGCUGCUCGAUGUUUUGUGAUAAUAUCUAUUGAGGUUUCCAGGCUGCCUCUUGGUCCUGAAGAAUCGGCAUUGCUUGGGCAGAAUGUCGGAGGGUGAAGAGCCUGGUACCCGGUGCAGAGGUGCACGGGCUGCAGUUAGCUGGGUCCACUCCAGCUCUGAGCCACGUAAGGUAAGGAAACUGAGGCUAGUGAGGGCCAACCGUGGAAGAACUGUGGGUGUGAUACGGCGAAGCUGGGCCCACCACAAUGGUGGAAACAUAGAGGACAGCAUGCAGUGGGAAGGAGCUUCCAUUUCUACGCUUCUGCAUGAGGAGGAGGGAAGGCACCUGGAGGAGAGCCUUGAAGCUGAGAUUGAAGGAUGCCGGUCUUCUGCCGGGUGAGGAAAGGUGGAAGGAGGACCCAGGCCAUGGAGGGGCGUGUGCCAGAGGGAUGUGCAGGUCUGGUGCGUCUGAGGCAAGCCGUUCGCUGUUGCUGAGCUUAUUAUAUAAGAGGAGUGUGUGGCCGGACAGGCAGGCAAACUGCCUUCAAAGGUCAUCUGAUUUUUCCCCAAAGAAGCCACUGAGGAAUUUCGAGCAGGAACACAGGAUGGUAAGAGCUUCUUUAUAUGAAAUACUACGUAACACAAUCUUAUAGUGUCGGAGAAGGUAAAUCCGCUGCACGAAAGAACAUAUACACACACACAGGAUAGGAUGGCGGACAUUAUGCGCAUUUUAAAAUUGAGGACACUCAAGUUCAAAAACUUCAGGCAGUGAGCGCCUGCGGCAAGUGGCCGUCCUGGAAGAGAAAGAACCCAGCUGGUGUCCCACAAGUAACCUAUAAUCGCGAGACUCCCAUUUCUCCUUGGAAAGAGAACGUGAUUUUAAUCCGCAGGGAGGGCGUGCCCCUCCCACCCUGUACCUUCUGUCCUAUUGCAAAUUGCGCUCUGUGUGUUCCCCCUUUACCCCGCUGUUCUUCCAGGGCCACGGUUCCUCAGCUUUUGACCUGACUUCUCACUCCCAGAUCUGGCCGCAAUCAAAUAUUAAGGACAAUGUCUGCCAGCCUUUUCGCUGCUUGGGCACACACCAUUGCUGACAUCAAAAACUGCUCCAGCUGCUGGGUAUGCAGCGAGCUGCCUCUCUUCAACCACGGGGCGACCAUGGCGUCUCCAAGCUGCCAACACCUCUGAUGGAAGGGCCCUACAAGAGUGGAGGAACGCUGCCCACUUUCCUAUUUCUACGCCCCUCCACCUGGUGACAUGUUUUCUUUGGUGUCCUUGCCUUUUUACUACUUUUAUUUUCAUAUUGUGCUCUCUGUUGCUGUUGUGGUCUCAAGCUACAAUGCUCUUCCCAUGUCUAGCUCGAGGGAAACCGUGGAAGACUGGCGUAAUGAUAUCGUAAGGGCCGUUCCAACACGUGGGGGGUGGAGUGUAGGGGCAUUAGCUAGGGUGCCCCUUUAAAAACCAUGUGUCCUUGAGGCUCCUGUCUGGGCUAUGUGCCAGCUCUCAUGAUGAUAACGGUCCUGGGCUUGGCCAACCCAACUGGUUUCUCAUGGGAGAGUUAGCACCAAGACCCUCUCAGUGUGAGGGAACACAGGGGCCCUCCGGGGGGCUCUGGUCCUUGGAAUGCAGGUCAUACAGGGAUGAUCCCCCUUGGCAGGCAUUCAGCCUUUGUUCCUCUGUCUACUUAAGCAAGCUUCUCUCAGGGGAGGCAGCGGGUGCACCUCACCAUCUAGCUGGCCACCACUGGACCUUCCUUGUAAGUAACU